rnacentral:lncRNA from 1 species
GUGGAAUUAACAACGCGGCUUGAUUUCUUUAAGGAGAGGCGUUCUCAGCUGAUGGAACAGCUCCACAACCUUGACUUGAACUAUGGCACCACAUCCUCACAGGAUUUUAUUUAUAGACCAUCAUCCCCACCCUGGAACUGACAAAAGACAAUUUGAUGUUCACCUGCGAGUCAAUGUGGUUGUUGUACAUUCUUUCAGAAUUGCAUAUAUUUGUAUGUUGUGAACUGUCUCUUAAAUUUCAAUAUCCUCUCUUCUUUUUUCACCUCUCUCUACAUCUAUCUAGUUAGAAUUUGAUUGGAUUCUAAUCUUCUUUUCCCCUCUCAGCAUUGCCAUGCCUUUUGUUGUUGUAAAAAAGUGUCCCUUCUUGUGUCAAUAGUUAGCUGAUCUGUUCUGAACAUACAAAUUGCAGCAGACUUUUUCCUUAUAAGAAACAUGCCUUGUAUUUUUUUUUUUUAUUACAAUAGCCCUGGUGUAUAUGAGUGAAUGAAUGAUCUGACUGUGAUGAGUGUAUUUAGAAUGCAUAUUUUUGGAGGUUCGAUUUGAGAGAAAUGCAAUGUUAGCUACAAAUUUAUUUGUUAUAAACAAUGAUGUGAAGUGUAAAUGAUGAGUUCAAUAAGUUGAUUUGCAUCUCCAAGUUGAUAACAAAUUGACAUUUUCGGCUGAUUUUUGAGGUGCCUUGAUAAUUGGAGUCCGAUCACUUGGGUAAAAAUUUCCUAAACUCUUUCAGACGAGUGGAUGGUCGGGCAAUUCCCCCCCUUUUUUGGGGCAAAAUUGCAUUCGUUUUGCACUUUCUUUAUAUCUGCUUUCUUUUUUCAAUGCCGGAACUAUAUAUAACAUGUGCCUUCUUUUUUCCUAAGGUCUUUUUUAUAUGCUUAAAAAUCGGUGUUUUAACUCCACCCAUGCUGAGGGAAAAACUGUGCUGGAAGGCCUAAAGCUUGCCUGGUCUUUUGGUGCUAUAAAGGUUUUGGAGUGCGACAACCAGGCUGUUGUGAACUGUCCAUGGAAAUGAACUCUUGAUCAAUAUAGUUCCCUGUUUGUUGUUAUUAAGGAUUUGAUUCAUCGUAACUGAGACGGCUAGAUUGUGCAUAUCUUUCGUGAAGCCAACCACUGCGCUGACUGGCUGGUGUCUCUUAAUCCUAGGAGUGUUGUUCUCUGUGUUUUUUUUUUUAUUAAUCAACAUGCAAACUGAGAUUUGCAUUAAAAAGGCCCAACUGGGCAAAGCGUAUAGGCAGAGGAACAAUACAAUUUCAAGCUCAAAACAUUGGAAUCAAACCAGUCAAAUAAAAUCAACCAAAUCAAAUCUAAAUAAACUACCAUAGAAUCAAAUCACAAACUCAAUUGAUCUCAAACUAGGAACCUUAGAGGCAGAAGUGCAGACAGCUAAGAAGCCACUCCUGAGACCAGACCACCUUCGAGAACACUCGAUGAAAAGCAUCAUCUGACUCCAAUUAAUUGGCAUGCAAUGCAACCAAGAAAUGAAGACGGUAAUUAAGAUGCACAUACUAUCACUGGAAGGAGAUGAGGUCUGAUAUUCUUUUGGUAGGUCUNNNNNNNNNNNNNNNNNNNNNNNNNNNNNNNNNNNNNNNNNNNNNNNNNNNNNNGGUUGAGUUUUUAAAUUCUUUUUAUUUGCUUUAAUUUGUCUUCCAUCGUCAAAAGUUCCUCUCGCCUUAUUGGUGUGAUUGUUUCUGAUUUCUAUAAUUUGUUUUAUUGUAUUUCUUUAUUUUCUUUGGUGCAACUUUUUAAAUUGAGGGUCUUUUUUAUUAAAGAGGCUUCAAUUUAAUAAAUUUAAUUGCUGCACUUGAAUUUACAGAGGGAUCGGUGGUAGAUCGCUAUGGGAAGCUCUUGCAUGUAAUUAACUUGUGUAUCACCAGAUUGAAUAGCAGCAUGACGGAUCUUAGACAGGUGUGACACACCUAAGAGGCAUAAUGUCCACUCGUACUUCUCUUGCACGCUAUCACUAAAUAAAUCUUUAACAAUUCAUACGAACGGCUGAGUGUGUGAGCCCAACAUGACACUGUCUCAUUCCCGUUAACCCACCCAUUACUGAUUGGGUGGAAUUGUGGAUGUAGCGCAUGGUAGUAGUAGCAUGUUCUUUUUCUUUUUAAUGUCAGUAAUUUUUAGUAUGGAUUAGUUCACACAUUGAGUAAAUACUUUCUCGUUGUACUGUAUACAUACUUCCCAAAUCUUAGUUUGGCUUUUGUUAUACUUGUGUUCUGGAGAUCCGACAUACCUGGGCUGCAAAAAUAACUAAAUAGAAGCAAGCUGUGUCAUUACGUGGGACAAUUAGGCAAUUUUUUUACCUCCAUUUGUUGCUUCAUGUACUGUGCUUAAUUUCUUUUGUAGCCAAUUUUUAUACGCAUCAAAAUGAUUGAAUGCGCUUUCAAGUUUAACUCGACAAAUUUUAUACAAUUUCAUUAUUAAUGUUAUUAUUUUGGUAAAAUAUCUUGAAAUUAUCUUUUACUUAAAUCAGCCUGAAGAAUAUUCAGAAAAUAGAAUGGAGGAAAAGAUAUCCACUUUUCUCAUUAGUCAUAAACCAAAAACUACAUUUCAAUUUUAUGCAUAAUUAUUAAAACAAUCUCAUAUAAAUAUACCAAGUCAACGAACUUGUAUAUAUUGAAAAUUAAAUUGGUUUUUAACCAUAAUUUAUUUGACCAUUUUACUUAUAGUCGGUCAAUAUUAAAAAUUUCUAUUACAUGCUGUAAUUAAUUAACAAUUAUCAUGUUACCUUAUUAAUAACCAAAAUUUAUUUGACCAUUUUAUUGAGAAAAAUAAGUUUGCCAUAUCAAGCUCCAAUUAAAAUCUGCCAGGCUUUCGUUAGUGCAUCGCUAAGAGAAGAAAACUUGUUGACUUUCUAGGAAAAAAAAAAAAAAACUACUUGAUUUUCAAGUUCAUUUCUCCUCUAUUUCUUUAAUUAUAUUUUUUAUAUAAUCAUAGUUAUUAUUCUAUUGGCAUAAAACACGGGUAUAAAAUACUAGCUUAAAGAAUUUUCUCCUUUUUUAACUUUUAUUGGGCCGAAAAGAGCUUCUUAAUAACUUCCUCUGAAAGAAAUAUGACAUUUUUUUUUACCAGUGUUUUCGGUAAAAAUAUGACAUUUAAUUUCCGAAUUAAUAGGGGAUAAAUGAAAUUGAAAACUAGAAUUGACUAGAACUGACCGUACAAGACCAACCCCCUCAUGCAUUUCUCCUCCACUUAAAACAGCUCUCUUCUCUGUCUUGGCUGGCGUCUUGUGUAUGCAUAGCUAGCAGUGGGUGAAAAGCAAAAACUACUAUUUCUUUUUAUCUCUGGCAGAUGUUACUACGACCGCUACUGUUGCCCUCUACCCAAUUCAAUACCUAAAGCCACAGCCAACAACAAAAACUAUCAACAAAAUUUUUUCCACCUGUGGACAGGAAAAAGCAGAAAUCAGAGUGAGAAUGGCAAAGAAAAUGGGAGAAAUUUAGAAGGAAACUGACGGAAAAAUUCACUUAUUUGUUCACAUUUUAUGGAGAUUCUUCUGCGGUAGCUGUUGUUGCCUCUGCCUGUUUGUUCUUUCUCCUUUUAUUGUUCUUGUUGUGCAGGCGAAGCAAAAACCCUAGGUACAUUUCAUUGUCUACUUCUCCAGAUCUUGAUACCGAUUAAACUCGCCGAUCUAUUCAAUCACUGUCAAUGUGGAACUCAGCUACGACAAGUUCACUCAAUGGAGAAAUCAGGCGAUUCAAUUAGUUGCAAUGCUAAGCAUUUUGAAGUACUGGAGUGUUUUGGUUGAGUGAAGGUUUCAAUGUCGGCUUCUUUAUCGUCUUUCGAGCGGCCGAGAGCUGGAGCUUCCAAUACGGUACGCUUUUUAAUAUUUCCUGGUUAAGCGGGAAAGUUAGCGAUUCUGAGAGAAAAAUUUUGGGAUCUUAUGCUGUGUAUGUGUUUGAGUUCCGGUUAUCUUGAGGGUAGAACAACAUAUGAAAAUUUCGUUAUUUUGAUUUAUUUACCUUUCUUGCAUUUUAUUAAUUGGCGAGUUUUGAGUUGUUAUUUUUUAUUGGCUGAGAGAGAGAGACUAAAUUACGUUUAUUGCUUUGUUUCCUUUCUGUUUAGAUGGCGAGAAAUACUGGGAAAAAUAGAUAUAUUUGUGGAGUUCUAUCUCCUACCGUAAAUUGAUUGAGAUAAAAUUCUUUGUUCAUAUGAAGGUUUUCAUUAUUUAUCUAUGAGUAAUUAAAUUCAGGAUUUUGAUAAAUUUGAUUUUCCCUACAUUUCUCAGCUUCAAAAAAAGAGAAAAAAAGAAAGGAAAGAGUCCAGUGAUGGCUGAUGGAUGCUGUUCCUAUUUUAUAGACUGUGGUUGAUAUUUUCCAAUUGGUCAUAAUGAUACCGUUUUCUUUUUGGCCAAAGGUAAAAGGGAUGUUAGGGACUCUCAAGUUCAGCUAAAUGCAUCUACCUCCGGGCUAACCGGCAGUGCUAAUCAUCAGAAGUUGAAUACCUCGUUCUUAAUAAACUCAAGUGCCUAUAAGAAACUAAUAUUCUAAAUGCAUUUACCUCCAAGCUAAACCUGAGACUGCUAAUCAAUUCAUAAGAAGUUGAAUACCUCCUUAAUAAACUCAAGUGCCUGUCAGAAACUGAUACUAGGCUUAAUUUAUUGCAUUACUAUUUUUAUGAUUUCCAUCUUUGGAACUAAGUUGAAUUUCAGACUCACGGAUAAGGAAGAAUUUUUGUGAACUUUUUGUAAAUUUUGAUUUGUUAAGGACAAAAUAUAGUUUAGUACGGCAUGAUUACCGGUUAUUGAGGGUAAAAUUCUUUGGGAAAUUUUGGUACUUUUUAAUGAAUAAUGAUUAAUGAAGGUUGCACUGUAAACUUUACCUAUAAACUAACUUGAGAAGUACUUUAUCAUAUUACCCUCAUUUAAUUUUAAAACUCUACCACAUAUGUCAUUUAAUAUCCGUUUUGACAAUUUAACGAUAAAUAAGCUUAUAAGUUACUUUUUACCUAUCAUGUCAACUGUUUAUCAGUUUUAAGCUAAAAUUAGCUUCUAAGCACUAAAGGCUUAUAAACUAAUUUUCAUAAGCUAAAUUAUAUCCUCUUAGUAAAAUGACUAUUGAAUGUCACUUGUCAACUUUAUUGAAGUAUAAAUAAUUUCUUUUUACUAAUAGCUCCUACAAUGGUUGUGCUGUUUAUUGAAAGAAAUUGCUGAGGGAAUAUGCAGCAAUGAUAUAAUCAUACGUAUUGCCCUUUUUUCCUUGAAAUUUGGCAGAUGAUGGUUGUUUAUUUUAUCGUCUAACAUGAAAUUACAUGACAGGUUUUCAAGAGUGGGCCGCUUUUCAUAUCUUCAAAAGGUUGGUAGCCAUUCUCAGUGGUCUCUUUUUAUCAAAGAAGCUCAUUUCUUAACUAAUAAGUUUUUGCAAAAUAAUACUUGCUGGGAUUGGGAAGUUAUUAAUUAGGAAGUUGUUUGGCUCGCACACUUUCCCCAAAGUUAUUGAUUAAUUUGAAUGUUAUAUUUGGUUCACUUACUAAUUUCUUAGUAACCGAUAACUGUGAGAUCUGGGGAGCUAUGGAUGACCACUACGUAAAUGUACUUUCUAGUGGGGUUGUAUGGAUUGAAGGAUAUUCGGGCUUAUUUUUGCAUAAGAAAAGAAUUGAAUUGUUAGAGGAGAACUCUUCUCCGCUAGUACUAUGAUGGCUAAGUUUGUUGAAAGUUGAGAGACAAGAGAUUGAAGCAAAUGCUCAGGGAAGAAGGUAAUCGAUGAAGUGAAACGAUUGAAUGUUUUAUUACCUUGUCCUCUUUUCUUAUACUCAAUCUUAACCAUGGUUUUAAUAACGGCUGUUACAUAACGUAACGGCCGUUAUUUAUAGGUUUUGGAGAAGGUCGUGACCGUUAUUUAACGAUAAUAAAAUUUUGUUAGAGUAAUGACAUUACGGCCAUUAUAGGCCGUUACUUUCUUUUCUCUGCAAGAAUUUGCAGAGAAUGUUGUCUUCUUGUUGGGAUAGCCUUCUUCAUGUGAUGUUUGAAUGAUUGAAGGCUUGAAAACUCUCUUUUCAGCCUUAUUACUUCAUUUUUCCAAGCUAAAUUGCCAAAACUAAAAAAAAAAGGAAAUUUCCCUCAAUUCUCAAGCUCUCUUCUCAACUUUCUCUUAAAUUUCUUGACUACUAAGGAUUGCAGAUUCCUCUGUUCACUUCUUCAAGAAUCAAGAACUCUAUAUUUUAGAGUGGUUUCAAAAUCAAUUGUGCAAAAAAGUUAGUUUAGAAUGUAUAAAUAAAAAUGAUUAGAAGUUAAAAUGUUCGAUAACUUUUAUUAGAAGAUCAAAGUGGAUCUACUCAAGAACUUGAUAAACACUCAUUUUGAUGGUAAUUAAGGUUAAUUAUCAAGUAUGAUAUUUAAAAAUUGUAAAUUUUGUGUUUAUUUGAUAUAUCUAUACUUAUUAUUAAGUUGUAUAACUUAGUUUUGAUUGCACCUUUAAAUAUUUGUUAAUUUCAUUAACUUUGCUAAUUUUUCAAAAAAAUUUGCUUAGCGACAGGCCAUUAUGGUUACGUUAUGACCAUUACAAAAACCAUGAUCUUAACCAAGUAGUAUGGAGUACACUCAUGGAUUAGAAUGGCAUUGUGAUUUGCUUGGUGUUAUGGGUUAUAGGAAGUAAAUAUGUUAAUAUAGGAAAUAAAUAUUGAUAGAUGGAUCAGUUGCUUAUUCUUAGGAUUAUAUAAUCAUAGACUUGAUUUUCCUUCCUGUUUAGAUACCGUCUCUCAUGUAUAAAUAGGUUGUAAUCUCUAUUGUGAAAUACAACAACAAAUAUUAUCCUUCUCUAUGGUAUCAGAGCCACCUUGGGUCAGACCAAUUGUGCAGAGCUAGUGGACCUGCGAGGAAAGGACUACCCGUGUGAGACGAGGUGGAGCCGCCCAAGGUACUAGCGAGCCACAAUACCCGAGGGUUCGGACUUGGUUUAGCAAUUGUAUUCGAUUUAGUUGCGACGAGGACGUCGCAAAUUUAGCAGGGGAGAGUGUGACGUCUAUCUGCUAGCUUGUAGAUUAUGUCUAACGUUUGGAGACUUAGGGCUCUGUUUAUCGGGGGCUACCCAUAAAGUGUAACAUCUGGAGACUUAGGGCUCUGGGCUCUGUUCAUUUGGAUUAUCCAUAAAGGGUAACAUUUGGAGACUUAGGACUCUGUUUAUUUUGGGUUACCCAUAAAGGGUAACAUUUGGAGACUUAGAGCUCUGUUUAUUUUGGGUUACCUAUAAAGGGUAACAUUUGGAGACUUAAGGCUAUGUUCAUUUUGGGUUACUCUUAAAGGGUAACAUUUGAAGACUUAUGGCUCUGUUCAUUUGGGUUACCAUAAAGGGUAACAUUUGGAGACUCAGGGCUCUGUUCAUCGGUAUUGUUCACGGGAACUCUUUACAGCUAUUGUUCAUCGGUUACUGUUCACGAGUUACUGUUCUUCUGAUCCUUUGUUUAUUUUGAUUGUUUUGGGUUGGUUGUUCUUAUGGCUGAAAUUGAUUAUAUAUGUAACAAGUUGGACAUUAUUAAUAUUUAUGCUCCAACUUGAGGGGGAGUGUUAUAGGUUAUGGGAAGUAAAUAUGUUAAUAUAGGAAGUAAAUAUUGAUGGAUGGAUCAGUUGCUUAAUCUUAGGAUUGUAUAAUCAUAGGCUUGAUUUUCCUUCCUGUUUAGAUACCGUCUCUCAUGUAUAAAUAGGUUGUAAUCUCUAUCGUGAAAUACAAUAACAAAUAUUGUCCUUCUACAAUUGGCGAAGCCUUGAGCGUUUUGCAUCUAAGAUAUUGCUAUGAUUAAUGGCACAACUUCUAAACAUCAUGACUUGGGUUUGGUAGUCUUAAGAUCUUGAGCGGCAGGUUGAGAGGCACUUUUAUUAUCGUAUGGUGCAAUUUAAUGUUUUGGGUGCCCUCAUAGUAUGGAUGUCACUAUAAUGACCAAUAGCAUUCAUGAGAGUUCUACUUGACAGCCUAUUCUCAUGACUCAGCUAGAUGAGUGAGGUGUUGCAGUUGUUGACCUUCAACUAAUUUGAGGGCUUGGCCUUAAUGUCCUUUCCUUGCCUGAAAGCGUGCCUGCUAGCCAGUGUCUUGUACGAGCCAAGGUCUCCAAACAACCAUAUGGGAUGGUCUAGGCCUAGGUGGCACCAUAUUUUGGAUUAUGCAUUCUAAGACCAAAUCAUUGAGUCUCUGGAUAGGUGUCUGAAUCAUAGUUUUGAUUAAGGACUGUUAUUUAAAGGAAUUUUAGCCUAUUGCUACCAUUAACACCAUUAUUUAAAGCAUUUUCAAAAUUGUAGCUGUACAGGCUGUUAUAUAAAGGUAUGUUCGUUUCGACCAUUAUUUAAAGGUCAUAAAAGGCUUUUUCAUUCAAGAAUCUUUGACUUUCUUUUGCUACAUGUACAUAAAGCUAAAGGAGGCGAAAAGAACAUCUUUUCAGUUUUAAUGCUAUUCCAUUGUAUUCAUUCAACUCUUCAUUUUAUUUCUUGGCAUUUUGCCACUUCCUCUCAAAUUUCUCCACAAGUAAGUGAAAUCUACCAUUUUCCAACAAAGUUUGAGCUUAAGAGCAUAGAUUAUUAAAUAGAGAAGGUGGUUUUGAAGUGAAAUAGAGCAAGGGUUUAUUAUUUAUUUUUCUAAAUUUUAGCUUUUUUAUAAUCAUUUUAGGUAAAUACAUAUAGAAAAUAAUAUCAAAGAAAGUUUUAGCCUUUGACAUAUAUUUGUUGAGUGGGCUUUGCAAGAUAAAAUUUAAAAAAUAAAUAACUUUGAUAUUGAUUUUCACAAAUACUAUUUAAACCUAAUUUAAAUUAACAAUAGUUUUCUAAGAAUGAUGGACUUUAAUGUCCUUAUUUGAUAUAUUUAUACUUAUAGUUGUAUAUCUUAGUUUGGUUGUAUCUUUAAUUAUCUAUUUAUUUCAUGAACUUUACAAAAUUUUCAUAAAAAUUUGCAUAGCAACAUGCCAUUAUUUUUAUAUUAUAGCUGUUACUGGCCUGUUUUUGUUACUUGUGACUGCAGUUGGGAAUGUGACCUUGACCACAAUUUAAGACCAUGGUCUAAAUGCUAUUGCCAUAGAAAGUUGGAUCCAUGAUGGUAUUCUUUUGCAUACACGUAUCACACUCAAAAGGAUUCUGGAUAAUUUAUGUUAUUGGUUACUAUGUUGUGAAUUACAGUAAUACUUUUAUUAACGUAACUUUAUUCCAGAACAUUAUUUAUUGUGAAGUUAAUUUAGUUAAUUUCCUUCUACUUUCUUAAGUUAACAUACCAGCCUCUCAUUAGUAAGUUGCUCACAAUCAAGGAAGUUGACUGAUGACUUUGCACUUCCUCGAAAACUAAACAUGAUGAGUUUGUUGUUUACUAAGCUUACUUCUUGCCAUACAAAUGAGGCAAUUGCUUUUCAGUUUUAUUCUUUGCCCCCUUGAUUUGGGUUCUCAACAUCUUUUAAGAUUAUUGUUGGUUUGACUUUGUAAAAUAUUUGGGUCUCGAGGCACUGUCCUAAAGAAAUGAUUUUCUGCAAUCCAACGCAUAUUUUCAACUAAUGCAAGUCAAAAUUUAUUCACUAGUUUCUUGACUCUGUUAGAUUUUGUAAGAUUAUUCAUAUAAAAAAUGACACCAAGAGAUUGGAAUGAUCAUUAUGGUUAAUUUUGUUGAACUUGCUAAUGGAUCUUCUAAAAAAUAAUAAUGUAGGGAGACCAUCACUAAUGACAUUAUGUUGAGAAAAAUUUCAAUAGCUUUUGUGCUUAGUACUUGUUAUUUUGCUAAUUAGGGCUGUUGUUUGAGGAUGGUUAUCACUAGUUUUGGAGAAAUCAUUUGCUGAACCAGUUAUUCCAUGUAGAUAGUCUACAUGGAAUUUUUUUUUAAAUAAUAGGGCGCUUGUUAUUUUAUAGGUCUUCUAUUAGUUAGUUAUUAUUUUAUCUGAUCCACUUAUUAUAUAUAUUGCCAUUCCAAGUAGUUAAUCCUACAUGGAAUCACGGUGGUAUUAUAUAGCUUUUCCUAGUCUUGGUAUUUGUUGUUUGUUAGAGUCAUGGUUCUCUUAUGGACAAGUUUAUUGAGCAUUUAUUUAGGUGGCUUUGUCCUGGGUUUACCUAUGUCAUGCGUUGUGAUUGGAAAGAUCAUUUAUCAAUAUCACGAUGUCUGGGGUUUUCCUGAUCAAUUUGAGAAUAUGUUGAGUCCAAAAUUGUGCAAGGAGGCUUAGGGCUUUAUUACUUGGUUAGCUAUAACUUCUGGCAUAUAUUUUGGUACCUUAGUUUAAACUUGCUUGGGUGGUCUACUUUAUUGAACAUUGAGAAAUUUGACUAUGAAACAAUGCCAGCAGUAAAAUUCCAGUCCUUGGAACCCAAAGGCUUGUAUUGUGAAUAAGGAAAAGUGCAUUCACUAAUGUUAGGAUUAAUCUUGGAAUUGCAUCUUAGCAUCAACACCACCCUUCUUCCAGUCAUUGGUGCAUAUUUUUUUGGGAGGACCGACAUACUAAUUACUAAAUUACUUAAACAUUGAUUACACUGGCCAUUAGAAAUGAAACAUUUGUUUUGCUAAUCAAGUAAAUUGAUGUUGAAUUUCUGCAGGAUUAGGCUGGAAAUCAUGGAAGAAACGGUGGUUUAUCUUGACACGCACUUCAUUGGUGUUCUUCAAAAAUAAUCCCGUUAGUACUUACGGUUAUUUUUGUAUUAUUUUUUUCCCUGUUUUUUUUCCCUGUUUUUUUUCUUUAAACUUUUUCAUUGCUUUGGAUUGUCUAUACUUAUGAUUGGUGUGGCACCUAGCUAACCCUAAAUUGAUACAUAGUAGCUGUUUAAGGAAUUCAAUUAGGAUGGUUGUGAAUCGAACUUUGUAGCGCAUAAAAAAAUUAUUGCUGUAAUUUGUUUAUCCAUUAUCUUUGUAGCCAUCUAUGAUUUUUUUUCUUCCGAAUAGAAUGCCUUUUCUUGUUUUCUAGAAAACAUUUUCUUAAGACAUAUUUUGAAUUUUCUAGUAUUUGAUGCGCAUACAAAAGUUGGUCAGCAGAAUGCAAUUCUUCUUUAAAUGAAAACUAAGUGCCUGUUUGGCACUGAUUUUCUUCUUUUGAGACCAGAAGCACUCAUAAAAGUUUCAUCUUAGAUGCUGUUGAAAAAAGCAGCUCAGAAAGAAAAGUGUUUUGUUAUUUUGGUGUUCAUUCAUAUGGCUAAAACACAUUAAAUUUAUUUUUAGAUCAAUUUUUAAUAUUCUCCAAGUAGUAUGUUUAAGAAAAUGUUUUCCUAACAGCAUCUCAAGCGUUUUUUAAUAGAAGCUCCAAUGAAAAUGCCAAAUAAAUCCCAAGUCAUUUUGUAGAGGAAGAAACUAAGGAAGGACCCAUCAGGAAACCGUAUAGGAAGCAUGUCCACAUCCACUAAUUUGUCAGCUAAAAUCAAUAGAUGCUGGCUACCAGGGUUCAGUGCAAUUUGCAUUUUUUUUUUUUUUUUUUGCUUUCUUUUUAUUUCAAGUAGAAUUGAGACCAAUUCAAUUUUCAAUGAUAUAUAAUUCAAACCUUCUCAUGGUCUUAUUCUAUGGAGGAAAUUAAACUUUUUCAUGUAUUCCAUGAAAACAAAAUUCCUGCUGUUUUCAUGUGUUACAACCAAACCAUGUAAUAGGAAAUAAUCCUUCUUCUCCAAAACAUGUUUCCUACUGUGUAUUUUUCAUUGACAAAUGACAAGUCAUUUUUCGGUGAAAAUAAAUGGGGUCUUGUUGAUAUAUGUAAUAUUUUUUGGUGAAAAUAAAUGUUCUGUAUACACACACAUGCUCGUGAUAUGACUGCCCCUUAGAUUAGAAUCUUAUCUAUGUUGGUCAAAUCAUUUAAAAUUAAAAGCAAGGCACCAAGGCACUUUAGAGGAUCCCUGGACCUCAUGCAUCAUUGUAAUAGACGUGCAUAUGCUGGCAUUUCUUAAACAAUUUCAUGGAUUUCCAGUUUUGAAGUGAAAUUUAGCACUUUGUUUGAGUAUCCUGCUAAUUUUACAACUUUUUAAACUCUUUAUGCAUAAUAUUCUGGAUGGUUGCGAAUUAAUUCACAUAGAUUUUGUGUUUGAUUGUCAUGCAGAGUGCUUUACCACAAAGAGGUGGCGAAGUGAAUUUAACUUUGGGAGGAAUUGACUUAAACAAUUCGGGGAGGUAUAUACAAACUGCAUGUUGUCUGGAGGUGAUUUCUCAAGAAUAUGGCUUAUGGUUGCUGUAUUUGCAGUGUUGUUGUCAGGGAGGAUAAAAAGUUGUUAACUGUCUUAUUUCCUGAUGGACGUGAUGGGCGAGCAUUUACCCUCAAGGUGCUUUGUUUUGCUCUUCCUGAUAUUGAUUUCUUUUUGAGUUCUGCAUUGUAUUUUUCUGAUUUGUUAAUCCUUUUUCUGGUGAGAUCUUAGGCACAGUACAACUUGCAUUGUCUCUCCUUGUACAAAUUUUCAGUAUGUAAGGUCCUUCUGUUUUUUCUUUUCUAUGUUCAGGCUGAAACUUCUGAGGAUUUAUAUGAGUGGAAAACAGCCCUGGAACACGCCCUUGCACAAGCACCAAGCGCUGCUCUGGUUAUUGGACAUAAUGGAAUUUUUCGGAGUGAUACCAAUGAUGCUAUUGAAGGGUCUUUCCAUCAAUGUUUGUACUUCAGCAGCAUACAUCUUUUUUCUUUUCCCUUUUCUUUUUGUUAAAAUUCUCAUGCGGUUAUUAUAUUUUUGGUCAGGGAGGGAUAAACGUCCAAUAAAGUCAUUGGUUGUUGGACGACCAAUUUUGCUUGCCCUUGAAGAUAUCGAUGGAAGUCCAUCGUUCCUUGAGAAAGCUCUUCGUUUUCUUGAGAAAUUUGGUGAGUUAUGAUACCUAGUUGUGUCAAAGUCUUCUUCUAUAACCUUUAAUUUUCUCAGUGGAAUUGUGGAAACCAGAGCCUCUUUUAGAGACGUUUUCAGCAUUGUUGCAGUAAUUGGCUAGUUGGGAUCUUUUCAAGAUUCCAACUUGUAAUGGCUUUUAGUACAGGUGCUAGGUUACUUGUCCUGUGCUUCUAUGAGGAAAGUUGGGAGCUGUAUUGGGCUUCGAGUUGGGUCUAGAUUUGUGUCUGUUGUGUUGUAGUGUCCGAUGUUUAUUAUACAUCUUGAUUACUGAUAUAAAAGGACCCUGAAGAUUUAAAAUUAUCAUCACUUCUUGGUCUCGCAACUAGGGUGGAUUCUGACUUGAGUGAAAUAUUCAAUUUUAGGAAGAUUUUAUAUGAGCUUCUCAAUCUAAAGUUGGGUUCAGUUCAAAUGUGGGACAGUCAGACUGCCAAUUUAUCAUGCUGCCACACCUAACACCAUUUAAUAACAUUUUGCCAAUAUAUGAGCUUAUGCAGGAUGUCAAAUGAUAAUAUCAUUUGAAUAUAUGACAACUUUUGUGUUGGUACUCCAAUUUCUUGUUUUUCUGAAGUUGUUUUGAAAGCUAUCUGGCAUUUGUUUAUAAAGAAUCCUGUUAACACUGGUUACAUAGAAUAGAAAUGUCUGAUUAUCUUUUGGCUUUAGUGUGAACUAGGAUAAACAAUUAAUCAUAAAAAAACAGAAGAAUUAUUUAUUGAGAAACUUGGUUUCCUUUAUUUGGGGUGGUGGCAUGACAAAGUUGAUAUACGAACUCAUUAUUUGCACAACUAACUAGCUCCUUAAAAUUAAUCCAUUAUAAUCCUUUGGGAAACUGAAAAUCUAAAUACUUUUCCCUAGUUGAGGAGCUUACCUUCACGGCUAUGUUUUUCACUUCUUUAAAAAUAUUUUAGUGGUCUUUUUUUUUUUUGGGAACUGCAGAGGGAUCAUCUUAAGUUGUUACAUUACCACACUGAGGAUACACUUGGUGGGAUGUUGCCACCAUUUCUGCCAUAGUGUCAAUUCCAUUAUUAUUGUCAAUGCAAUGAUUAUUACCACCAUUCUUUGUGCCACCAUUACUACCACCAUUCUUUGUGCUGCCAUUACUACCGCCAUUUUUUGUGCUGCCAUACCUUUAUCAUCACUGCUUCUAUAUCAUUGCUUUAUAUAUCUAAAAUGCAUCUUGCCAGACCUACACUUGCCAAGUGCUAAUAGGUGUGACCAAUGUUGCUUACUUAAGUUGAUAACAAUGUGCAAUGUGGAAAUGUAGAUUGGUGAUGAGAUAAGCGGCAGACAACUUCAUACGAACACCUGAACAAAAAUACACUUGCGUUGUGAUAUUUUUCUUGUAGGAACUAAAGCCGAAGGAAUUUUGCGACAAUCUGCUGAUGUUGAGGAGGUUGAACACAGAGUUCAAGAAUAUGAACAAGGUACAGUUUCUGCUGAUCAUUUCUCUUGAAUAGUGUAACAGACUCAAAUUUGCUGCAUAAAUGGAUAUUUUCAAUCAUUUAGAUAAUAUGCUGGCUGCCCUAUCUGGUGCACUUGCUUCCAUACAUUUUUCAGCUAAGGUUUCCAUUCUCAACUUUGCUGCAUAAAUUGAUACCUUGUCAUCAUAUAGAAUUUUAGAUGUAUGCUGCCCUAUCUUGUGCACUUUCUUCCGCUAAGAUUUUCAUUACUAAAAUUUCUUUUGAUCAUUUUAGGCAAGACUGAAUUUGAAGCAGAUGAAGAUGCUCAUGUCAUUGGUGAUUGUGUAAAGGUACUUUUUGAUGCUACAGUUUGCAACUUGCGACUUUCUAAAUUCCACUUGUGUCUGUAUUCACCCAAGCUUUCUGAUCUUUAGCAUGUCUUAAGGGAGCUGCCCUCCUCUCCAGUUCCAGCAUCCUGCUGCACAGCAUUGCUGGAGGCUUAUAGUAAGUUCAGCCUUGUAUCUUCCUCUAUGUUAUUGGAGCAUUUAUCUUCUUUUCUAUUAUAUGCAUAUGUGCAUGCCUACAUACACAUGGUAGAAGGUUUAUAUUAACACUAAAAAAUGGACGAAUUGGAAUCUUCUGUUCUUCCAAAAGCAAGGUUAGGGGGAAAGUUUAUUCUUUAUCUCUAUGCUUCUUGAAGCAACUGGCAUUCUUCCAAAGUUGAUUAAAAUGAUUAUAUUUUGAACCUCUCUACCAUACCCAUGUAUAUCAAAUACUAUGUUUGACCACUAGUUUAGCUCAUGGAUACCAAGACUAACUUUAAUGUCAUUAACAAAAGCUGCUCACAAGUGAGUCAAUUUUGUACAUUCUUUUAGGGUUACAGGUAGUUCUAUAAUGGUGUGUUUAGCAGAUGAAUUUAAUGUAAAGUGGUACUGAUUGGAUCACAUUGAGGAGUUUAGCGAAAUGUGAUUAUUUAACUAAAUAAUGCAUGUGAUACAAUUCUCAGACUGAUAGCUCCAUAUAGUUUUUUUCCCCUGAUGGUUUUUGUGUUAUUUUUCAUAGAGUUUCAUAAUUCCAUGAGUAUUUUGAACUGUGUUAGGAUCCUAUUGAAUCCCACAUCGGUUGUAGAAAGGGGUAAUGUGCCCCUUAUAUGGGCCAUAGGCACUCCUCCCCCUUGAGCUAGCUUUUGGGGUGAGUGAGGCAUGGCCCAAAUUUAACAUGGUAUCAGAGCCUCCCAUCCGAUGUUGGGCGCCCUAUAAAUGUGCCACGCACCAGUAAAAAUACUGGACGUGAGGGGGUGUGUUGAAUCCCACAUCGGUUGUGGAAAGGGGUAAUGUGCCCCUUAUACGGGCCAUAGGCACUCCUCCCCCUUGAGCUAGCUUUUGGGGUGAGUUAGGCCUGGCCCAAUUUAACAGAUCAUAUUUCUUUCAAUUGAAAUUUGAUUUGAUUGGCUCUAAUAUUCUCACUUCCAAUAAAAAUUUUGUGCAUUAUGUAUGUAAACAAUUUUUAGAAAAUUUACUAUUUAAUCUCUAUGUUACGAAGAAACUUUCUAGUUGGUCUCUCGAUUUUGAAAAAUAUAUUAAAACAUACUUGAUUUUUUAAAAAAUCUACUAGUUAGUCAUUUUGUUAGAUUUAGUCGUUAAAUUUAAUCUUUAAGUUUUUUACUUUUUAAUCCGUUUAAAAAAAAAUUAUUAGUUGGUCUCUUAGUUUUAUAAGAAGUCUACUAAUUAAUGCCUCUGUAUUGAGAGUAUUUUAGCUUUCUUUGCAGUAUUUAAAAGAUCACAAUUUAUGAAGGGACUAAAUAGUAGGCUUUUUGAAACGUUAGAAACGUUUUAAUGCAUUUCUCAAAAUUGAGAGACCGACUAGUGAGUUUUUCCAUAACAUAUGGACUAAAUAAUAAUUUGCUCAUAACUUUUUUAUACACUUGGUAUUACUAAGUAGGACAUGCAGGUUCUAUUUUGUUUUCUUUGCUUAUGAGAAUCCUUAACAAGAGAAUUUUGAUCCUAGUUCUCUAUUGUAAUAUAUUCAUAUUGCAAUGUUGUUUAUUGUUAAUUUAUUGAAAUUCUAACGGCAUGGUAAGUACAAAAAGGUGGCUAUUUAAUGUGAUAUAAGUGUGUGUUUUUUUAAAAAAGUAUUUUUGUAAUUGUUUAAUCAGUUUCUAAAAUUCAUAAGUUAAAAAUUAAUGGGAUCAUGUUUAUUGCAUGUGACACAGGAGUAGUUUGCAUAAAAAUGCAGUGCAGGAAUUAGGAUAAAUAUCAUUCAAAAAUUGAACAAUGGCUUGUUAGGGCUAUUUCUUCUGUUUUCAAAAGUUCACUUUGUAUACAUGUUGAUAGAAUUAGGAACUUAAUCAAUUGCUGCAAGAGAAGGAAUUAGGGAAAAUAUUUGUAUUGAGCUUUCUAUCAACCAAAGAACUCAAUUCCAAGAAUAUCUCCCGUCUAACAAAGUUAGCCCAGCCUAAGCAGAAAGAAGAAAACAUAUACAUGCCUCCCUCCUCUCACUAUACUUAUUUAAACACAUCAAAUACCAGCUGUCAUUCUGUCCUGUGCAUCCGAGAUUCCCGGUAACAAUAUAACUGAUUUCUAUUAUUCUGCCAAGUGUUCUUUCUCAGCAGAUUCCUCAGCCCUUGUCUCUUUGCCUCUGAAUCGUUUCCUGUAAUAGACCUUAAGCGGAAUGGCCUUUGGGCUUGGGUUCACAAUAUGAUUUAUAACACUUGUAGAUGUAAAUUUUGGUGUUAGAGGUGGACCUACUUGUUUUGGUAGUGCACUAAAAUGUUUAAGUGCCUGAUUAGACGUUAUUGUUCUUUUGUUGUUUUAUUGAAUAAGAAAUUGAUCAUAAGGAAGCUCGGAUUAAUGCAAUGCGCUCUGCAACAUUGGAGACAUUUCCUGAACCAAACCGACGUUUGUUACAGAGGUAAUCUCUACAUAUAUUUUUUACUUGGUUUUUUGGUUUCUCAAGCUUUCUUGUGGGACCCACUGAUCUUACUGUUCAUGUUUUCAGAUUUGAGUUAAAAUAUCACGCUUGCUAUACACUUCAUUGUUUCCCUUUUUUUUAAAAAAAAAAAAAUUGUCGCAAUUGUAUGCAUAGUGUAAUUUUCUUGAAGUUGGUGUAUCUUUUACCAAUGGAUCUGAUCGGAUCAUAUAAUGACACUCGUGGUGCUGACUAAUGAGCCCUAUGCAUUGGAAAAGAAAUAAUUAUUGGCUUUCAAGGCAUGUUAUUUUGGCAUUUUGUUUUGAGUGUAAUUAGGAUAUGCAAAAUAACGCCUGUCCAUUGCUACUGGAUGCUUACACGGAAGUACAGAGGAAUAGCUUGUGUUCCAAGUGUGUUUGGCUUCAGUGGGCAAUUCUUGUUCUCCCGUUUGGGGAUAACUGGCUGUAUUGUACAUAUGGAGAACUAAAACUGAAAAUUUUAAUGUUCUGAGAUACAAUAUGCAGGAUCAGAACCUUGCAAAGGAAUGUGUGGUAGUCAUUAGUGGUUUAGCAAGAGGUUUCUCAUGACUAUGAAAUGUUUAUACUUGUUUCAAUCUACUAUUUCUUAGUGUCUUCAUACUGUGCAGAAUUCUGAAGAUGAUGCAUACAAUAUCUUCUCAUGCUCAUGAAAAUCGAAUGAAUGCAUCUGCUGUUGCUGCUUGCAUGGCACCCUUGCUGUUACGUCCUCUAUUAGCUGGUGAAUGUGAAUUAGAGGAUGACUUUGAUAUUAAUGGUGACAGUUCUUCUCAGCUUCUUGCUGCUGCCAAUGCUGCUAAUAAUGCUCAAGCCAUCAUUACAACUCUUAUAGAGGAGUAUGACAAUAUUUUUGAUGUAAGAUUCUAUGUAUUUGUUUGUUUGAUAAUGGGACUUCAAUUUCAUUACUUCCACAUAUUUUGUAUAUGGUGAUCAUUUGUCCUUGUUCCUGUCAAUGAAUGCUGAUGUAUUGCGUUGAAACAAAAUACUAGAGUUUUUGGCUUGGAGGACCAUACGUCGUAUUGGAUGGGAAUUGGGAAAUAUAUAAAAAAUAAUAAGAAAUUCUUUUGGUCUCUCAUGAACUUGACAGUAGGUUUAUUGAGGGAGAGAGAGUCUCUCGCUGCUCAUGAUUUUGGACUUUGGUACACUAGAUGCCUCUUUUUAAUGUUUCUGUUGUCUGUUCUGCAGAACUGAAAUGCAAUUCUUUGCUUUUUGCUUUUUUUCACUUCAUAUAUUGUGCCAAAUUUGAAAAGAUGGGAGAAACUGAACUGGAUCAUGACAAGUGUGAGUGUAUGUCACUAGUUCAAGUGUGAGUUACAUGGUUGAACCGUUGGUUUUCUUAGUCUUCAUGUUGCAAUGGUGUAUAUAUAUAUUUUUUUCAUGGCCUAGAAUAGGUCUUAUGUUAAUCUAUACGGUUUUCUUAUAGAUUUACCUGGUCCAAGUCCUGCCACAUGCUGUAUUUAAGUAAAUUUUCAUGCAAAACCAAGCAAGUCAAUUCAUAAAAGCUCACUGAAACUUGAUUGAGCUGAAUGUGUUUGAUCAGGUUUCAACAUAGUUGUCCAAUAUUUUGCGUUAGCAAAUAGGUGCUACGUUUUCUGGCCUGAUUCAACCAGUUUGGCUAUUAUGGGUUGAAUAACUAUUAUGAGUUGUGAGUUGUGAUAAAUGAGAAAACUGUAAAGAAACUUUCCAGAGAAGAAAAUUAGCACAGCUACAGAUUGAAAUACUCUUGGCUAUGCAUAUAGAACCAAGAGAGGCUGGCAGAGUUUGUAGGAGACAUGAUCAUCGGCUUUUUCUAUAGAAUUUGCUGAACAUCAUAACAAGUUUAUCAUUGUUGAGGUUUUUGUUGAAUAUUUUAUUUUAUGCUUGUUCUGGUAUUAAUGUGUAGCUAUUGUCUGUUGUUUCAGGAUGAAAAUCUGCAGCGAUGCUCAAUCUCUGCUGAUUCUCGAAUCGAAAACAGUGGGAGUGACGAUUCAUCUGAUGAUGAAAAUACGGAUGUGAAAGAAAAUGGUUAUCAUGAUGCAGAAAAUGAAGUUGAUCAAGAAACUGAUUAUGAUGCUGAACGUGUACUCAGUGGAAAAUUAAGUGAGAGCAGUGGUUCUGGUGGCAGUGAUCUUUAUGAAUAUAAGGUUGUGAGGUUCUCCCUUGCACAUAUAGAAGCAUCUCUAUAUAUUUCUCACCUUUCCCCUGCACUUUCGACUUGUUCUUUUGUUUUCAUGAAUAUGCACUGAUCUAAUAGUAGUUCUGCUUGGAAUUUUAGACAUAUUCCAAAAUUUGCAACUUUAUUCGAAAGCAUUAACGAGAGACAGCUGAGGAUCAGUCCCCUCACCAUAAGGGAAAAAGAAAGGAAAACAUAGUUUAACUAAAGAAAAAUGAUUUGCAACUAUGUGAUAUCUUCACAUUCUGUGAACAAUGAUUUUAUUUUUUUGAAGUCCAAGAUCUGUACUUCUCCCAUUUAUCUUUGACCAAUGAAAUUUUUUUUCUGUUUAAUUUUACUGAAAGAUGUAAACAAGGGAUGCUCAAAUUGGUGAUGAAGCUUAAUUGAUUAUUUUUAAUUUAAAAGACAGCAAGUGCUUUGAAAUUCUAGUUUUAAAAGGGAGCUUCAAUACUGAGGGAUAAGAAAGUUUUAUUUUAUGUGAUGCCUAAAAAAUUGCUGAAGUGUUUAUUUGGUUGAUUUUAUUGAAUGACAGUAAGAAUGUGUCUUUGCAAGAGACGAGGAGAAUUUGUAAACCAUGGGCUUCUGCAUUGUGAUUGUUUAAAACUUCUUGGAGUUCAAUAUAUCCAACUCUUGAAAUUAAUGGAUCUACUUGGCAAGCACAGAACUGGAUUACAUAUUCUAUGGAGGGGCUCCCAUCUCUGGCUACGUUUAAGGAGGUGUGGGGACCAUACUUUUCUAGAUUGAGGAUCAAUAUGAGGGCUUUAAAAGAUGUACAACCUACUGGACAUAUGUAGAUCUUAUUGUUAUAGUUUCCGAAGAACUCAUGCAAAAACAUCUCUUUGUUAUCAUACCGAGUAUAGACGAUUGUAGGUGUUAAUAUCGACUGAUUUUGGGAUAGGCGUAACAUCUCCUUUAUAAAAUCUAGGGUACUCUUUUCCCUUGAACUAGCUUUUAAAUCCAGCCAUUUUCUUAAUAUGGCGUGGAGUCUCUUCGACCAAUGUUGGGCUUCCUGUUAGGUGUUUGGUUCUAGGCGUGAGGGAUUGUUUUAAUAUCCUAUAUUGGUUUCGGAUAUGGGUAAUAUGCUCCUUAGGAUGCUUAGGGCACUCCUUCCCCCUUGACUAGCUUUUAAGAGUGAGUUGAGUCCAUCCUGUUUACUUAGGAGUAGGAAAGGAGAUAUGACAUGCUUCUAUCAUUUAAAUAGUGUCUGCUAAUCAUUAGCAACCAUCAAGUAUUUGGAUUUUGGAGUAUUGAAGUUGGCAGCACAAAUUUGUGUUUCUGACAAGACAGUGCCUUAGGCCUGCAUCUGAUGGCAUGUGAAUUAUCUCAAUGUAUCUUUUAUAUAUUAGAGACUUUUCUAGCUUUUUCUUUGUUGUCAUGGUGAAGAUGAAGUUUUGUCAUCUUUUUAUUUUUCAAUGAUAUUUUGGAGUGAUGUGCGCACCUAACAUGUAGUCACAAUCAAGGUUAUCUUAUUUAUUAGAUUUUAGAUUUUCUCACACUGUUCUAUUACCUGCCUAAUCUGGAACUGAACAUUUGAUGUUCUAGAGGAAUAUUGGAUACCUCAUGUGAGUCUAGAAGAUCAUUGAUAUUAAACUUUAGCAGGUCUGCAAAUGAAAGGACGCUUUUUGGCUUUGAUGUUUGUGCUAUGCAUGCAUUGAUAUGGUCUAUUUGGUUGAAGUGGAAUGCCAAGAUUUUUCUUGAACUAUCUGUAAUUAAGUAUUUGAUUUCAAAUGAAAAAUACCUAAAUCUGUAUGGAUUUUGGGAUGCAAUGCAUUCAGCAUAAAUUCAUUUUAUAUCUCAUCAAGAUGUUUGUCUUUCUACUUGAUGUCCUUAGCAACCUUCCUUGAUUGUUCCCACACCUGUUAUUGAUACAUUACAUGCAGGCAUUUGGUGGUGAUGAAUCAGAUGGAUCACCAAGAAAUCUUCACGUACCAGCUGAGAGUUCAAACUUACCUGUUGAAUCAGUGCAAACUAGAGACCCAAUUGUUCAACUGAUGGAACAACCAAGUAAAAUGAAGAAAGGAACUGAUGAUUCAAACAAUGAGAUGGAUACUUCAAAUGUGUCACAUAUUGGUGAAUCUCAAGGAUCAAUGGGGGAAAUUCUAUCUUCAAUUGAUCCUAUUCCUUCUUUACCUGUACGUGGGCUUGAUUCAUCUGCUGAGAAACCAGCCGGUAAAGUUGCAACCUCCAAUCUCAAUGGAAAGCGAUCAACAUUCUGGGGAAGGAGUAAUGUAAGUCCACCAAUCGUAUGCAUUGUAUGCCACAUAUCAACUAAAUAGAAGGAUUAAUUGUAUGCAAUUGAUGAUAGAAUGUUUCAAUUUGAGAUGGUCUCUUGCUGAAUUUCUACGGGGUCAAAAUUUUGUUUAAGAAACCCAUAAAUGGAAGGUUUUGAGCAACUGUUCAUCUGAGUAGUGGAUCAAGCCCCCCAUCUUUGGUUUGCUAUGGAAUUGGGCAUAAGUGCAAUUCCAACUGGAAGGUUCCUUUUACUUUCUUUGUUUUUUAACUAGGAAUUCAUGUUUAGUAUAUAUAUUUAUUUAUGUUAAAAUCAUCUACUUUUUAUACUUCUAAAAAUUAUCACUAAAGUUUAUAUAGUUGUUUAAAAAGUAAACUUUGGAUAUGAUUCUUGGGAUCUUGACAUUCAUUUCCAAGAACCAAAAAUGUCCUUAACUUGGAAGUAAUAAGUUUGGUAAGAAAGUUGGACAAGAUAAUUCAAUCUCAAGGGAAAAAAUUUCUUCUUUUUACCCUCUAAUAUUUGUUUGUAAAUAUAAGAAAAAGUUGAGGGGGGAAUUGUGAAUAUCGAAAUUAUAAUUGUGUUUGUGCCGUUCAGUAUUUAACAUACCCCAAAAUGAUGGGAUAUAUGACGAAAAAUAAGGAACAGUAGACCAAGAAAAACAGAUUUUAAAUAAUCAAAGUAGGUAGAGAACACUUUCUCUGGGGAGCCAUUCUCAAAAUCUCAAGAUACAAAUGAAGAGAGACUAAUUCUCAAUAAAACUUUAUUUAUUGUCAAUAUUUCGUAGGGAUCAAGCCUUAACAAAAUAUCUGGAUGACAUAGGUAAUAGAAAAUAAUUAGUCGUAUAACUACUAGGACUAGGAAUUCCAAAUAAGAAACCCUAGUCAAAUAUCAAUUCAGAAUCCUAAAUAAGGUAAGCUAGAAUAAUUUCAAACUUAAUAAUAAUAAGAUUUCUAAACUCUAUUUUUCAAUAGUGAGUAAUAUAUGCAUGAAAGAAAACCUAUAUAACUUUUCAAUUAUAAUGCUACUUUUGUUGGGUUAGAAACUUGAAGAAAGAAAACCAUGAGUGUAAAAUUGUAGCUUGACAUCAAUCCUUCACUCUUCUAGAGCUAAUCCAUUCAUCUCAAAUUAUUAGCUUGGGCUUUUCCCAGGCUUUCUUUUUAAUAACUGAGGUAAAAGGGUGAGUUGUCUUAGUUCAGUUACUACAGUUUUUAAACUGAUUUAUUGUGCUAUUGAGCAUCUAAUGAUCUUUAUUACUCUACAGGCCAAAAAGACACCAGUGAUGGAAUCUUUUGAUUCUUCUGGAGAAGAAGAGUAAGAUUCUGGUUAUUUGCUUUCUCCUGAACCACAUAAAUAUAUGGGCCAUGGCACUAUAAACCACAAAAUUUAUAUUCAGAUGUCUAAUUGUAAGGCUCAUGCUGUUAAGCAAGUUAAAUAGAAUUAAUCUGUCUGAACAUUUAUCUGUUAAUAUAUUCACUUGGACACAAUGUAAUAUAUUUGCUGUAUUUUAAUCCUUUCUUGUUUACUUCCUAUGUUACUCGUCCUUGAAAAUUUAUUGGGAACUAAAAUCCAAAUCCAAAACAUGUUUAGAUCUGUAUAAAAUAUAGAAGUUGUUAACUUUGUAGAUCUAAGAAGUUCUACACAAAUGAAUUGAAUUGUUUCUGUUGCUUGCUGACAUUGUAAUUUCCACUUCCUUUUAUAUUCAUAACUGUGAUUUAGUUUAGUUCUGUUGUAAAUUUUUAAAUGCCUUUCUUGGGCUAGCUCUUUUGUUUGAAGCAUCAACUAUCAUUAAAUCACUCUGUUCUAUUGGUAUAAGAUCCAUGCUACUAAUAUAAUCUGUUUAACAAAAAUACUUUAUUGUUUGCAGGUUUGCUAUUCAGAGGCUUGAGAUUGCAAAAAAUGACUUGAAACAGAGGAUUGCAAAGGAGGUCUAAUAUCUUAGCUUAAACCUGCUUAUACUUGAUUAUGGAAUAUGUGCAUUCAGGUCUAACAAGAUCUUUUGUUCCCUAUUUAGUCCCGAGGGAAUGCAAUUUUACAAGCUAGCUUAGAGAGAAGGAAGCAAGCUUUGCAUGAGCGACGGAUGGCACUUGAACAAGAUGUACUCAUUUUUUAACUCAUUACAUAUUGCUCUCCUUUGUUAAAUAUUAAACUUGGUGCAAGAAAAUUGUUAUGCACUCAAUCGCUUAUGUAUGAUUGCUCCUUCAGCAGUAAUAUUUGUACUAAAUAUGCAAUUUAACUCGAGAAUGAAUUCAGAAUAAGCAAGAAUGUUAAUACUUUUUAGGCAAUCUCUGAUUGCAAUUCUGUUCUAGGACUGGGCUUGUAGGUUGAAGAUGUUGCUUAAUUUAACUCGAGAAUGAAUUCAGCGCAAGCAAGAACAUUAAUGUUUUUUGGCCAAUCUCUGAUUGCAAUUCUGUUCCAGGGCUGGGAUUGUAGGUUCACGAUCUAACUUUGAUGCAUGCAUAUAAUGUUUAAUAUAUAUAUUUUUUAUCUUUUUUAAAUUAGCAUUAUAAUGUGCUAUAGAGAUUUGCAUACUUAAUGGAGAUAGAGUAAAUAUUUUUUCUUGUGUCUACUGACUUGUGGUUGACUGCAUAGGUGGCAAGGUUGCAAGAGCAGCUGCAAGCUGAAAGAGAUCUUAGAGCUGCACUCGAAGUUGGCUUGAGCAUAUCUUCUGGACAGUUCUCCAGUUCACGGGGCAUGGAUUCCAAAGUAUGUGCAAACCUUGAGUGACUUCUCCCUUUCUUUCCUUACUCCUUAAAUAUAUUGAUUAUUGGGUAAUGCACGUGCUUAUGACUUUAAAAUUGAUGUGAAGACAAGGGCUGAGCUUGAGGAGAUUGCUCUCGCCGAAGCAGAUGUGGCCAGGUUGAAAGAGAAAGUUGCAGAACUCCACCACCAACUUAAUCAGCAAAGGCAGCAUCAUUAUGGUUUCCUCUCUGAUGCAUGUGACCGUUAUCAACAUGUCCAAAAUCAUAGCACUCAGCAGUGAGUAUACCAAGUCGUUAUCAUUUUCAUCUUCUUAUUCUUCUUCCACUAUGUUGAUGGUAUGAAAUUGAUGAUACAUGGCAUUUUAGCUAUAUCAUUUUCUUUGCAUUUCGCAUCUGCAUGUGAAUCUGGAAAUUUUCUUCUGGGACCAUUGUGAUUGAAACUCUGUAAUGCAGUAACAGGUUAAAGGGUUUUUUUUUCUGAAUAUACAAUAGGCUAAGGGGAUGUUUUCAAAGUUUUUGCUCCAAUGCCCCCACACUGACAACUCCCAGAUCAAGAUGCACCUUUCCAUAUAUCUGCAUACUGCAUCUGCUGCAAAUAACCAAUCUGCUUACAUGCAUGUUCUUGUUUGUGGUGAUAAAAGACCAUUUCUUUAAGAUGCAUAGCACUUUUACAUUUUCGGGCAUGGUUGGUUAGUAUGGAAGCCUUGAAUAUUCAAAGCCUUGGCAACAGAAUAUGCUAUAAUGAAGUUCAUUUGAUUGUUUUUGCUGGAAGAAAGGGCAAAGUGUCUUUUGUCAUUUAACAUGAAAACUAACAGACCUAUAUUGCAGUUGCAUUUUAUUUGUUUUCAGCUGUAAUAAAUUUAAUGCUGGUAGCCAAGGACGAAUUACAGAUUAGUAGCCCUAUGAGAACUGAAAUUAGACAGCAUACAAUUUCACAUGCUUAUUUAAGGAUGUGGCUGGAUGGACACAUUUUUCAUGUUCUUAUUAUGCCCCUUUUUUUCCUUUUGCUGAUAUCUGCAGGAGAUUUCUUCAGCAAGAUUUUGAUGCAACCCUGGCUUUUGUGAAUCAUGAAAGGAAACAAAGAACUGAGGUAUCGUAUAGCUCCAUACCACAGUCCAUUGAACCAUUUGUUUAAUAGCUUCAGAAAAUAGAUAUGUGUGUAAUUCUAGUUUGAUCUUGCUGCUUGUUUGAAUUUGGGAAUUCUUUUUUUUUAUAUUUAUAUUCUGCUUAAGAUUUAAAUAAUGUCAGCUUUUCUUUCAUUUCUUCUUUAUGAUUUCAUGUCACAGCCUUUAAACUACAGUUUGGUUCUAAAUAGUUAUUCUGAACUUGGUUUGCUUAUUGAUUUCCUCAAAUGAUGGGAUUAACUUCAUGAUCGUUUGACAUUAAGGUAAAUAGAAUUCAUAUCUUAAGGAUGUGGGAAUAUUUUUUUGGUUGUAACCUAUUACCAUACAACCCUAUUUAUUUGGGUUUUGGACCACCCAUAUCUGACCCAACUGAGAUUCAAAUCUUUCAUACGCCGUGGUCAAGAUUGCAUGCAGGACAGUGGAAGCGAUUCCUUUUAGUGUGUUAGUUUCAUUACAAAAGAGUUGUGGGGAGACAGGAAACUGUCACUCAUAGGAUUGAGGUUAGACAAAAUCGAGGGUGGUUCUAUUGUACAAAGGCAUGGUGGAAGUGAGGAAAAUGUCUAUCGCAGAUCAAGGUUGGAUAGUUGAAAUGUAGACGGCAAUGAAUCUUUUUCUUUAUGCAGUUAUAAGAUGCCUAUUAAGUUGAAGGAGAAGCUCUCUAAGGCUUUGUUUGUGUCUUUUAAAAAAAAAUUGCUAGAGUACUUUCUACAAGUUCUGAUUUUAAUAGAGAACAAAUGCAAUAAUAAAAGCACACGUGAUAAAACUUUUGUUGGAUUUUGCUAUAUUAUUUUAUGAUGGCAGAAAAAUGAUAUUAGAAAAUUCAAUAACAUCUUUUGCUAUUGAAAAAUACAAUUAUAAAACGUAAAAGAAAAGAAGAAGAAGAAGCUAGUUUACCAAAUGAAGCAUAAAUAUCACUUGCUGUUGUUUAACCGCAUCUUCCAAAAUAUCCAAAACAAGGGAAGAAAAAGCCAAAAUAAGCUAACCUGACAAAAUCUAAUUUAGUUGGCUGUCAUAUGUGAUAAUUGAUUUUAGGAAUGUUCAACAGUGAAGAAACAUGUCUAUAGAAUGAUCAAAGAACCAAUGGUAGGGUAGAUGAAUGGGAACGUAAUAUUGUAUGAGGGAUGAGUGCAUUGUAAGGAAGAACAUGCAAUCACUUUGGGAUAAAAUGAGAGUGCAUUGCUAAGAUGACUUUAAUUUCUGGUGCGUAUGUUGAGCAUUUCCCAAGUUAUAAGAACAAAGAAGAUAUGAGUUAUAACAAGGAUAGACUACAUUAUCAAGACAGGAUAUUGUAUGUCUGUAUGUUGCUGAAAAAACAGCCUUAAACUUACUGAAAAGGUAACCCUAAAAAAGAUCAACUGCUAAUCCCAACUAGAUUGAAAAUGUAAUUAUCUUUGUCUUGCACAGGGGUUCAUCAAGAAGAUACCUCAAUCUGCUUAUCUUGGCUAUCUUGGUGCAACAGGUUGAAAUUUGUAGUAAUUCUUCAAAUCAUUAGUGAUGGCAUGGGAGAAUUAUAGAGAUAGAGAAUCAAAGAUUUUGAGAUUGUCAAAUAAUGCUUAUUGCUUGAAUGCAAAAGUCUUUUAGGCCCCUAGCAAUCACCAUUUCACUCCUAAUCCCUAGAAUUCUCUCCUUUAAGUUUUUUGACAUGACUUGAGACUUUUUAAUAUAAAUAAAUAAUAAAUUCUAAUAUUACUCUACAAAUCCAACAUAAAUAUAAUCCGGACUGCUAUGCUACAGGAGUGUUUGUUGGGGACAGAUUGGAGGAAUAUUAAAGGAACAGGAUUAGCAACUGGCAGCAGUAGCAGGCAGCCUCCUCGAAAGCAAUUUCUGGAAUCGACCAGCCUCAGUGAUUCUAAAAGCACCGAGGCAUCCACUAACAUGUCCAUGAAUGAGAUGUGUGGUGUGGAUUCUGCUCCUUCCACUUCGAAGGCAGUAGAGGUAAGUAUUGCUGAGAGCAUAUUAUUCAUAGAUCUUAAUAAAUUUGUGGACUGGGAAAACUCUGAGCUCAAGAUAUGGAUGUAUUGGCUUUAUAUUCCAGUGAUCCAUAUAGAUGCUGAUGUUUGUGUGUGGUUGCAGAUGAUGGAUUAUUCAAGACAUCCAUCAGCAGCAUCUUCAGCUUUGGUAGAAUUAACAACGAGGCUUGAUUUCUUUAAGGAGAGGCGUUCUCAACUGAUGGAACAGCUCCACAACCUUGACUUGAACUAUGGCACAACAUCAUCACAGGAUUUUAUUUAUAGACCAUCAUCCCCACCCUGGAACUGACAAAAGGUGAUGUGAUGCUCACCAAUGAGUCAAUGUUGCUGUUGUACAUUCUUCCAGAAUUGCAUAUAGUUG